rnacentral:rRNA from 1 species
CGGGGGGACUCCUACGGGAGGCAGCAGUCGGGAAUUUUGGGCAAUGGGCGAAAGCCUGACCCAGCAACGCCGCGUGAAGGAUGAAGUCUCUCGGGAUGUAAACUUCGUAAGAAUAGGAAGAAUAAAUGACGGUACUAUUUGUAAGGUCCGGCUAACUACGUGCCAGCAGCCGCGGUAAUACGUAGGGACCAAGCGGUGUUCGGAUUUACUGGGCGUAAAGGGCGCGUAGGCGGCAAUUCAAGUCAGUUGUGAAAUCUCCGAGCUUAACUCGGAACGGUCAACUGAUACUGCUUUGCUAGAGUACAGAAGGGGCAAUCGGAAUUCUUGGUGUAGCGGUGAAAUGCGUAGAUAUCAAGAGGAACACCUGAGGUGAAGACGGGUUGCUGGGCUGAUACUGACGCUGAGGCGCGAAAGCUAGGGUAGCAAACGGGAUUAGAUACCCCGGUAGUCCUAGCCCUAAACGAUGAAUACUUGGUGUCUGGAGUUUUUAUUCUCUGGGUGCCGUCGCUAACGUUUUAAGUAUUCCGCCUGGGGAGUACGCACGCAAGUGUGAAACUCAAAGGAAUUGACGG